UCUAGCAAUGAUGACACUCUUGCCCUCACUGAGAACAUUGGUUCAGUAAUGAGAGUUUUUUUAAAAAGUACUCAUCUGCUCUGAGCCGGA